AGGUUGUAACGCUUGGCGGCAUGCCUAACACAUGCAAGUCGAGCGGCGAGCGCGGGGGCGACCCUGGCGGCGAGCGGCGGACGGGUAGAGUAAGGCUAUCGGAAUCUGCCCUGAUAGUGGGGAUAACGUAGGGAAACUUACGCUUAAUACCGCAUACGACCGAGAGGUGAAGCGGGGACCGAAAGGCCUCGCGCAGCAGGAUGAGCCGAUGUCCGAUUAGCUGGUUGGUGGGU
rnacentral:rRNA from 1 species